rnacentral:tRNA from 1 species
GGGCCUAUAGCUUAGUGGUAGAGCACCCGGUUUGCAUCCGGGAAAUCGGGGUUCGAUUCCCCGUAGGUCCA